rnacentral:rRNA from 1 species
UAUUAUGAGAGUUUGAUCCUGGCUCAGGACGAACGCUGGCGGCGUGCCUAAUACAUGCAAGUCGAACGCUUCUUUCCUCCCGAGUGCUUGCACUCAAUUGGAAAGAGGAGUGGCGGACGGGUGAGUAACACGUGGGUAACCUACCCAUCAGAGGGGGAUAACACUUGGAAACAGGUGCUAAUACCGCAUAACAGUUUAUGCCGCAUGGCAUAAGAGUGAAAGGCGCUUUCGGGUGUCGCUGAUGGAUGGACCCGCGGUGCAUUAGCUAGUUGGUGAGGUAACGGCUCACCAAGGCCACGAUGCAUAGCCGACCUGAGAGGGUGAUCGGCCACACUGGGACUGAGACACGGCCCAGACUCCUACGGGAGGCAGCAGUAGGGAAUCUUCGGCAAUGGACGAAAGUCUGACCGAGCAACGCCGCGUGAGUGAAGAAGGUUUUCGGAUCGUAAAACUCUGUUGUUAGAGAAGAACAAGGACGUUAGUAACUGAACGUCCCCUGACGGUAUCUAACCAGAAAGCCACGGCUAACUACGUGCCAGCAGCCGCGGUAAUACGUAGGUGGCAAGCGUUGUCCGGAUUUAUUGGGCGUAAAGCGAGCGCAGGCGGUUUCUUAAGUCUGAUGUGAAAGCCCCCGGCUCAACCGGGGAGGGUCAUUGGAAACUGGGAGACUUGAGUGCAGAAGAGGAGAGUGGAAUUCCAUGUGUAGCGGUGAAAUGCGUAGAUAUAUGGAGGAACACCAGUGGCGAAGGCGGCUCUCUGGUCUGUAACUGACGCUGAGGCUCGAAAGCGUGGGGAGCAAACAGGAUUAGAUACCCUGGUAGUCCACGCCGUAAACGAUGAGUGCUAAGUGUUGGAGGGUUUCCGCCCUUCAGUGCUGCAGCAAACGCAUUAAGCACUCCGCCUGGGGAGUACGACCGCAAGGUUGAAACUCAAAGGAAUUGACGGGGGCCCGCACAAGCGGUGGAGCAUGUGGUUUAAUUCGA